CUCUUGUAUUCACACUAUGUGUUUUCUGCUGUUUGCCUUCAAGAGACAUGCAAGGGGAAGCCACAGAGGAGCUUCUGAGGCAUCCAUCAAAUGUCCAUCUGAUCACUCAUGGGACUCACCCUACUCACAUGGAAUACCCAAACUAGAAAGACUACUGACAUCUUACUCUGGAGGAAAAGUCCAGACUCCACCAAGGACAGAGCAUCAGCAUUAAUCCUCUUGACGAUGUGAUUAAAUAGGCUGACCCAUGCAUACCAGUGGACACACACACUGUGAUAUCAUAAAAGACCCUUGAAGGAUGAGGUGGAGGCAGGAGGAUCAGAAGUUCAAGGUUGUUCUCACAUAGGUAAUGUAUAAAUACCUAUGCCUGGGAUAAAUGCCUGGGAUAAAUACAUUUUCUCAGGAAAAAAGUACCAUUCACCCCUAAUUCUAUGAGUAUUUGAUGUUUAUUUCCACUUUACUGUAGAGUGGUGACAUUGUGGAUAUUUAAUUAGAAUUUAUUUACAAUGCUUGCAUUAAGUACAAUGAAUGUCACAUGGCAGUGAGUGGCUGCUGACUCCCUUCUGUCUCCUCUCAGACCCUUGGUGUGAUGUCCAAGCUGUCUUUGACUAAAUCUAUCAUAGAUUAGACAUGAUAUUUGAGACAUGGCGGGACCCCAUGUCUUGAUGCUAUCACCUCCAUUUCCUAAGUAUAAAUACAUAGUCAAAAUGGCAGCACUAUGUUAAGGGCCAUCUCAGAAAUGUUUGGAAAUUCUAUCCUAAUCGCAAGCCAAAAUCCAUUUAGCAAUUUUUUUCAAUCAAACUCAAGUCAGCAAUUCAAAUAGAAAAUUUAAAAAUCAAACAUUCUAAAAUAACACUAAUUUGACAAUAAGAGGAUAUUAAAAUCUUUGUUUUCAAUAAUUAAGUAAUUAUGCUUCUAUGAGAGCAUAAAACUGUAUGUACAGUGCAGACAUUAUAAAUCAUAACAUACAGCAAUCUUAAUUCUGAGCUCAGAUGUUUCAGGCCAUAAUUAUCAGAAUUAAGCGAUGUGAUGAUGAAGUGCACAUGUGUGUUAAGAACCAAGGCUGGAGCUGGAAAGAUGGCUUAGUGGAUAACACACUUGCUAUGCAAGGAUGAGGGCUUGAGUUCAAAUCCCCAGCAACCACAGAAAAAGGUAGGCAUGGCUGGGUAUGUUAGAAUGAUUAGCGUCGAGAAACAACAUAGGUAGGUUAGAGGACCCCUCUGGUUAGCCAGCUUAGCUGAAACAGCAACCUUUUCAGUUUAAUGAGAGACCCUUUCUCUGGGAAGUAAGUGUCCCGCGCAUGCUGUAUUUUCUCGCCAGCAAGAAAUACACGCAGGACACUCGGAUCCUUCUGCAGACAAGCUUUAAUGCAUCUUGAGAGUUGCAGAGAGCAUAGCUUACCAGAGCGGAGACACUGAACCAAGAAAACCCAUCCCUAAUAAAGGCUGGCCAGCCGCCUGGGACGUGUUACCC
rnacentral:lncRNA from 1 species